rnacentral:rRNA from 1 species
GAUGAACGCUGGCGGCGUGCCUAAUACAUGCAAGUCGAGCGAACGGACGAGAAGCUUGCUGCGCUGAUGUUAGCGGAGGACGGGUGAAUAACGCGUGUAUAACCUACCUAUAAGACUGGUAUAACUUCGGGAAAGGGGAGCUAAUAGCGGAGAAGAUUUUGAACCGCGGUGGUGAAAAGUGAAAGACGGUGUUGGUGGAACUAAUAGAUGGAUACGAGCUGCAUUAGCUGGUUGGGAAGGUAACGGCUUACCAAGGCAAGUAUGCAUAAGCGACGGAUGUGGUGGAUCGGCCGCAUGGGAACGUGGCCACGGUCAUGAGUCCUACGGGAGGGAGCAGUAGGGAAUCUUCCGCAAUGGGCGAAAGCCUGACGGAGCAGCGCCGCGUGAGUGAUGAAGGUCUUCGGAUCGUAAAGCUCUGUUAUUAGGGAAGAACAUCUGUGUAAUUAAAUGUGCACAGCGUGACGGUACCUAAUCAGAAAGCCACGGCUAACUACGUG